rnacentral:rRNA from 1 species
CGGCGGCGUGCCUAAUACAUGCAAGUCGAACGAACUCUGGUAUUGAUUGGUGCUUGCAUCAUGAUUUACAUUUGAGUGAGUGGCGAACUGGUGAGUAACACGUGGGAAACCUGCCCAGAAGCGGGGGAUAACACCUGGAAACAGAUGCUAAUACCGCAUAACAACUUGGACCGCAUGGUCCGAGCUUGAAAGAUGGCUUCGGCUAUCACUUUUGGAUGGUCCCGCGGCGUAUUAGCUAGAUGGUGGGGUAACGGCUCACCAUGGCAAUGAUACGUAGCCGACCUGAGAGGGUAAUCGGCCACAUUGGGACUGAGACACGGCCCAAACUCCUACGGGAGGCAGCAGUAGGGAAUCUUCCACAAUGGACGAAAGUCUGAUGGAGCAACGCCGCGUGAGUGAAGAAGGGUUUCGGCUCGUAAAACUCUGUUGUUAAAGAAGAACAUAUCUGAGAGUAACUGUUCAGGUAUUGACGGUAUUUAACCAGAAAGCCACGGCUAACUACGUGCCAGCAGCCGCGGUAAUACGUAGGUGGCAAGCGUUGUCCGGAUUUAUUGGGCGUAAAGCGAGCGCAGGCGGUUUUUUAAGUCUGAUGUGAAAGCCUUCGGCUCAACCGAAGAAGUGCAUCGGAAACUGGGAAACUUGAGUGCAGAAGAGGACAGUGGAACUCCAUGUGUAGCGGUGAAAUGCGUAGAUAUAUGGAAGAACACCAGUGGCGAAGGCGGCUGUCUGGUCUGUAACUGACGCUGAGGCUCGAAAGUAUGGGUAGCAAACAGGAUUAGAUACCCUGGUAGUCCAUACCGUAAACGAUGAAUGCUAAGUGUUGGAGGGUUUCCGCCCUUCAGUGCUGCAGCUAACGCAUUAAGCAUUCCGCCUGGGGAGUACGGCCGCAAGGCUGAAACUCAAAGGAAUUGACGGGGGCCCGCACAAGCGGUGGAGCAUGUGGUUUAAUUCGAAGCUACGCGAAGAACCUUACCAGGUCUUGACAUACUAUGCAAAUCUAAGAGAUUAGACGUUCCCUUCGGGGACAUGGAUACAGGUGGUGCAUGGUUGUCGUCAGCUCGUGUCGUGAGAUGUUGGGUUAAGUCCCGCAACGAGCGCAACCCUUAUUAUCAGUUGCCAGCAUUAAGUUGGGCACUCUGGUGAGACUGCCGGUGACAAACCGGAGGAAGGUGGGGAUGACGUCAAAUCAUCAUGCCCCUUAUGACCUGGGCUACACACGUGCUACAAUGGAUGGUACAACGAGUUGCGAACUCGCGAGAGUAAGCUAAUCUCUUAAAGCCAUUCUCAGUUCGGAUUGUAGGCUGCAACUCGCCUACAUGAAGUCGGAAUCGCUAGUAAUCGCGGAUCAGCAUGCCGCGGUGAAUACGUUCCCGGGCCUUGUACACACCGCCCGUCACACCAUGAGAGUUUGUAACACCCAAAGUCGGUGGGGUA